CGCGGCGGGCCCGGGGCCGGGGUGGGCGAGCUGCCGGGGACGGGCCGGGGGCGGCGGACGCGAGGGGCGAUGCGGGGUCCGAGGGUGCGGGCGUCUCCAUCGGGGACCCCCAUUCGCCACCCACGGCGUCCCCACCGGGGUCCCCGCCGCCCUCGGCCUUGCUGGGGCCGGCAGGCCUCGGACCGUUAGCUGGCGUGGAGUCGCCACGCUUAGACCCCAGAGUUCCAGGCAAGCGGCUUCGGGGGUGGGGUCGUUUCUGCCCUGAGAGGCUCGCGGGGCCCGUGAUGAGGGGUGGUCUGGGGCCGGCUCUGCAGCAGGGGGCGCCAGGAUCCUAGAGGAUGCUGCCACCCUGAAUCAAUCGAGGAGGCUCUAAAGUUCUCCAGAACCAACUAGAACCCCUGCGAUAUUUUCAGGGAUGCGAAUGCCACAGGUCUGGGUUGGGUAAGAUGCAGCCUCAGGAUGGGAGACCCCACCUCUAGCGCUGCAGACCCCCUUAGUGGGUGGAGCCCCCAUGCCGCGCGCUUGGAAAGGCUUCCCGCCCUCAGGGUCUCCAGUCUCCCACCCGUGCCCCGCCAGCCAGACGAGGGUGCCCCCUCCACCCAGCUUCUCUGUGCACUGCUCCCGUUAAAUUCCCUGGGGAGGAAAAAAAAAAGCAAACAAAUUCUCCGGGGAGGAAAAACCUGGAGUCUAAUUAGCGUUUAAGCUUCUCAUCGAGAAAUCGUUUAUCCUAUGCUUCCGGGCCAGCGUGGAUGGAGGGAGAGAAGGCGCCGAGGGUUUGGGCAGGUGGGAUUCAGGGAGAGCACUGAGCAGUGGGGGGGACAUCCACCUUUGGUUGAGGCCCCCCCUGCACAGGUUGUUGGCUUCCCCUCUCAGACCAGCAAGGUGGGGGGGGGGGUCGGAUUUAACCAUCUGACUCAGACCCCCUGGAGGGGAGACAGGCUGUGCCUCUCGUGAUGCUCCUGGACCCUCGCGCUAUUGCUGGGUUCCCGAGGCCUGGACCCUGACUGUUGGUCUGUGUCACCCGCUCUCCCACCCCAGGCGUGCCCUCUACUGUGCGGGUGCUGGCUCGGCCCUGGCCCUCAGGCUCCUGCGCGCAUGGCCCUGCCGGCCCUCUGCUGCCCCCUAUGGCCCUGCGGGGAAAGCUGCCCGUCCGGGCCUGGCUGACCCCCUCUCUGUGCAGUGGCUCAAGUGGACUCAACGGCCAGGUUCUUGGUGGGGCUCAAGGUCAUUCCCCAGGCAUUGGCCUGUGCUGAGGUGACUGACUCCAGCCCCAGGUGAGAUGUCUGCCCUGCUGCAGGCCACAUGCCCUGCCCAUGGCCUGACCCCACUCCGGUUGUCAGCGCCCACCUAGAAGCAGAGUAGAAAUGCACAGUAUCCCCUCCAGACAGCAGGGCAGCCAGGGCUCCAUGGGGCCCAAGAAGUCUUGGUUUACAAUCCAGACCUGUGACUGCCUUUGGGCAGACUCACGCGCCGUAACUGCUCUUAUCACACUUGUCACACACAGACACAGGCCUAGUUCUGGAUUGUGUGGUGGGACAGCAGGAUGACUCACGGUAGCUUUAAGAACACUUUCUCAGACUCACACACUCACACAGAGGCACACAGGCCUUUGUGCUCCCGCAGGUGGCACCCGAGGCCCCAGUUGGGUGCGGGUGGAAAAGAGGUCCCUCGAUCACUGGAGGUCACACCCAUGGAUGAAGGAGGGUGAGCGUGUACCCUGCCUGUGUGCGCUGGUGUGCCCAAAGUACACGAUGGACACACAGAUCCCGUGCUCAGACGUCUACACCAGGGACACCGUGGGUGUGCCGUGUGUCUCCUGGGUGCUCAUCGCUCUCUCUCCCCAGCAGUCUGGCCUCCACUCUGCCUUCAGGGGUGCUUCAUAUAGUUCUUCCUGGCACCUCCCGGGAUGUGACUCUGGGCCCCGUGGCCAUCAGGUCCCUCCUGGUCUCCUUCUACACCUUCCAUGACCCCCCCUGUGCUGUGCUGCUGGCCUUCCUGUGGGGCUGCAUGCAGUUGGCCAUGGGCUCCUGGGCUUGGGUGAGACUCUUUUCCUGCUGAGGUGGGAACUGUGUUUCUGCUCUUCCUGGGGCCCCGAGGCGCCUGCCUCCUGCGGCUGCCCCUGCCCUCAGCAUUUCCUUCUUUAUAUUCCGAGGGCUGUCCCUGUGUGUGGGGGGUGGGGGGGGUCGUGCCCACAGCCCUAAGCCCUACCCCAUUCUGCUUAAAUGCCAGGACACUUGGAGAAGUGCCCAGGCCCUCAGACCCUGGACUCCCUUUCCUGCUCUCCAAACCAGCCCACACAGGGCAUGUCACACCCUCAGCCCUUAACCCCAAUCCCAGCCACAACCCCCCUCCCAGCCCAUGUCCACCCCUGUCCUCUGGGACUGGGCAGAGCUGUGACCAACUUGGUAUUUCCUCUUGGCUGGCCAGGGUUCCUGCUGAAACCCUGCCCCACCAUCUCCAGCCCCGUCAGUCAUUAAAGGUCUCACCUCUGCUGCUACCGUCACCAUCGGCCUUGGGCAGAUCAAGGCCACCCCAUCACCGUCACCGCCCUUGUGCACGCGGAAGCCUGUCUUACAGACUCUGAGGAUUAGGACCAGGGACCAGCCGUCUGCAUCUAUCAAGGUUAUGCAGUUUUUCUUAAAAGAGAUCAUUCUACUAGGAAUCUGACUUCAGACAUCCUCUUGUCCUGGAGUCAAGAGAACGAAUCAAGGAAGGAAAAGGGGCUGAAAGAGAACGAGAAGAGGAAAUGUGAGUGUGGCGAGCGGAAGAAGAAGAGCCAACGGCAGAUAAGCGCACUUCAAGGGAACCAGAAACCCCGAGGAGAGCGCUGGUGUGGCCGCUGGCGCACGCGGCCGUGCAGGGACAGAGAUGAUGGUUAAGGUCCUGCUGGCAGGUGAAGGCUGUCCCGACAACAUGCCCAGGAAGUGGAGACCCGGUCCGUGGACGGCCCUGAGUUUGCUAGGCUGAGCCCUCCACUGGCUCCGGAAUUUGGAGGAGAGGGCUGGAGGUGCUCACAGGGCCGCCACGUGCCUGACCCCAGGAGGUGCAGGUCACACCGUGUUCUUUGUGAAAGGUAUCCCUGCAGGGGCUCCACAUGCUCGUCUUGCAGGACCCAGUCCUGCCCUCCCGACCCUCUCAAGGUGAACAGGAGCACCUCAGCUAGUCCAAGUGAUGAGACAGUGUGGGGAGGCCUGACUGACCCCCCCCUCCAUACCUCCCCCCCGAAUUCAGGCCUCCUGGGACAAGCAUGAAGGGGACAGAGGCUCCAUCUCACACGGCAGGGGCAGGACCGCUUACUCGGCCCAGCUCUGCAUCCCUGCGGGCGCUUAGUAGUCCCCGCAUCAAGCAGGCCACCCUGCAGGGUCCAAACCCGGCUGGAGCUGCCCGACCCCUGGGGUCCCUCACGGCACCGGUUCUCAGGCUGAGGUUCUAGAGACUUUCCAUAGACACAAAAAAAUCAAACAGAACACCACAAUUUGAAGGAAAUUCAAUGCAAUGCUAACUUGUGAUAUGUUAAAGAAUGAAGAUUAUAAAUUACUUACAUUUCCUUUAUUUUCCAAUUUUGUUAAUAAAUAAAACAAAUAUAACUUGUAUUAUACUUUAAAAAGCAGUGUCUUCUGGGAUCUUUUCUUGCUGGAAUAUACUAGCACCAUACAAUUUAUGAUCUUAUUAUUAAAGUAUAAACAUUUUCUUUUAUUUGAAAGGCACAGGCAAAGUUUGGUGGGGGUGUUAGAAAGAAAAAGGAUUUUUAGGGGCAAAGGGCUGAGCUCCAGGUCUGGCCCAUUUUCACUGUGCAGGUCUCAGGACGGGUCCUGCUGAGUGUGGGUGGAGGGCCGGGGUCCCCACGCCCAUCCUGGUCGUCAGACCUCCUGCUCCUCACAGGGCCCAGCGGGAGGGACUCAGUUUUCAUCCCGGAGUUACUCACAACAUUUUUCCCAGGUGGCGCCUUGCACAGAGGAGCUGGCCUGACAUCCCCUGGGACAGCAGAAAAGCUGUCCUUGCCCACUAUUCUGGGUGGUUCUGGACUUUAAGAGUCUCCUGUGUUGGACAGAUCCUGUGUGGCAAUAUCUCGCUUAGCCUGGUCCAAACUCCCACCUCCUGUCCCCGAAUGUGCGUCAGGAACCCAAGACGGGAGCGCGGAGCCCACCUGCUCUGCCCCCAGGCUCUGCUCAAGGUCAGGCCAGCAGCGCCUGCGGAGUUAAAGCUCCACACUCAGCCCCCUGGCCCGGUGUCUCCCUGGCUUGACUGACAGCGACUCUUUCAAUUAUGUGAGAGGAUAUCGCGCAUCUCCAGUGUUCCUAUGUGACCGUGAAAUACAGGUUCCUCACUGUGGGAAAUAGGACUUUCAAAUCUCUUCUUAAAUAACAUCUGAUUGUUGCAAUUUUUGCAUUUGAAAGUCCUUAGAAUUCUGAAAUUCUAACGAAUAUCUGCGGACCUGAAGGAAAACUGAGUUCACUCUAUCCGUGGGGCAAGAUCAUGAUUGAGAAAUGAGGAUCAAUAAAUGACUAAAAAAUCCUGUCUUUCAGUCGACCAUCUGUGCAGGGAGAGAACCACAGUGGGGUGCAGCAAUGUGUGCAGAAAGUCAGAGAGAGAAGGAGCGGUGAGAACACUGAACUCGAGAACAGCGCUGGCCUUUAGACAACAGCAUUCCGUGUCGACAGCACCCACGGGGUCAGUGUGAACCGUGGUAAGCAGGUGCAGUGGACUCUUAGGAAAAAGCUCCGUGAUCUAAUGCUGGUGAAAAGUAAUCGAACCUGAAGAGGGGGUCGUGGGCACCUCAAUUUGUAGCCAAAUCAGACAGGAGUUGUGGGUAAUGUGGGGACCCACUGCUGUGCCUGGCAUCUGAAGUGGGAUGGAAGCAGUCUUGUGGGACAGGGCUCUUAACCUGUGGGCUCCGACGCUGUCUCCGGGUAGACAGUGUCAGAAUCGAGUUAAACCGUAGGACGCCCAGCUGGUGUCACAGAGAAUUGCUUCGUGGGGGGAAAACCUCCUACAUUUGUUGACUAGAAGUGUCAGCAGUGACGCGUCCCCUGUGAGGAGUAAAGGAGACACACGGCAGAGAAACGCAGGAGGGGGAAAGACUGAGUUUCUCUAACACAAAUUGCAUUUUCAGAAAUGUCGUAUUCGAGUAAUUCAUAAAUCUCAAGAACGUUGCCCAUCACCAACAAUUAUAUAUUUUUUCUUGGCUUUUAGACAAAAUCAGACAUGUACAUUUAAUUUCAUUAAUAUUACUCCAUACAUAUUUGUAAAAAUUCCUGUUUAAUCUGUAAACUACACAAUGGUAGGGAAAACUGUCAUUUUAAUUUGACUUUGAUACUUUCUGAAGACCCAAAACUUUCAGCUUUAUUAAUACUCACCCUUCACUAAUACCUGAAAUAAAUACCCACUCAUUUUGGCUCAACAACUUAGAAUAUGUGGGUCCAGGCUGACGGAUACGCGACCUAUCGGCUGGAAUCGUGUGGAAUCAAGGGAACUGAGAUGGGAGUUGGCCGUGCCCUAUGCCCAUCCUAGGAGAUAGAUUCUUCACUUCUUGUUGCCAUCGUGAUUUACCGCACAGUGAAAUAUAAAAAUGUAGGUGUAUCAAAAAUCAUGAAGCUUAUUUUAAGUAUUUUUGAGAUUGAUAAUAUGGGAAGGUCAUAAUGCAAGUUCAUAAAUCGUACAUCUUUUUAAAGUCCUUAUUAAUGAACCUUCAGUGAAAUUUGGAUAUUUUUCAAAUAUAAAAAGCUCAAAUGGGUUUUAGUUUUUGAGUGACUGCUGCAGACGUAAUUAACCAGGUUUGAUUAACAAAGAAAGAAUAAAAGCGCUGCAGGCCAUCUCACAGCUGCCCGCUAGGUGGCGCCAUGUCACAGGAUCCGAAGUGCCCCCUCCUCCGGGUCCUGACGCGGGCCUCCGCCUCCAUCCUGCUUCCCGAGGUGCGGACCGGAAGGCGAGGACCCGUCUCUCCUGCGCCUGCUCAGUUCACUAAACAUUUCUGUCUCUUGACAACUAGGGAUAUGCUGACUGCCUGCUCCUCACAAGAUUAUGACAAAUCAUAGCAGUUUAAAUUCACAGGUAAUUGUUCAGUGUUGUUCUUCUGGAAACCUUUAACCCUGAAUAUGGCAAAACUCCACUACGCCCAACACCCAGAUCAAUGUUCCUUCCUGUAGGAACCUUUCCUUUCUCCCCAAACCAGUUCUUCAUGCUGCUCUCCAGGACCAUUUAUAAACAUCUCUGACGGACUCUGUAACCAUUUUUGUUGGGAUUGGUGUGGUCUUAAAUCUUUAAUGAGACAAACUUAGUAGAGAGCUGGGUCUGUGGCCUUGAUUUUGGACAUGAAAUACAAAGAAUACCCAGCAAAAAGACAACAAAGAAUUACUAUUGCAUUGACAUACAAUUUAAUUUAAUAAUUUGAAAUCAAUCCAGUUUCCUUUAUAUUUUCUCCAGACUUUCUUCUUCCCUACACUUUCCUGCUUCUCUAAACUCAAAAAUACAAUAUAUGAGUUCAACAGCAGACUAGAGGAAGCAGAAGAAAAGAUCCAUGAACUCAAAGACAGGACACGGGAACCCAUCCAUCCAGAGCAGCAAAAAGAAAAGAAGAAUGAAACAGAGUGAAGAUAGCUUAAGGAACUUACAGGACAACAUCAAGCAGAGCAAUAUUUGCAUUCUAGGGGUCUUAGAGGAGAAUAGAGAGAGAAAGGAGUAGAAAACUUAUUUGAAGAAAUAAUGGCUGAAAACUUUGCUAACCUGGGGGAGGAAAGAGACAUCCAGAUCCAGAAGUCCAGAGAGUCCCAAAUAAGAUGAACCCAGAGAGACCCACACCAAGACACAUUACAACUAAAGUGUCAAAAGUUUAAAGACAAGAAGAGAAUCUUAAAAGCAGCAAGAGAAAAAUAACCUGGUAUUACAAGGGAACCCCCAUAAGACUAAUAGCAGAUUUUUCAGCAGAAACUUUGCAGGCCAGAAGGGAGUGGCAUGAUAUAUUCAAAGUGUUGGGGGAAAAAAACACUAACAACCAAGAAUGAUCUACCAGCAAAGUUGUCCUUCAGAAAUGAAGGGGAAAUAAAGAGUUUUCCAGACAAGAAAAUGCUAAAGGAUUUCAUCACCACUAGAACAACUUUAUAAGAACUGUUAAAGGGACUUCUUUAAGCUGAAAUAAAAGUGUUAGUGUUAGCUUCAAAAAUAUAAUCAAUACACUAAGAAAGGAGAGAACACAAAGUCAUGUGGUAUGCUCAAUUAAUACAAGAGAAGGUGAUAAAAGAGAGGAAGACAAAAAAGAAACAUAGAUCAAUUGCAAAAAGUAGACAAUACAGGGGCUGGCCCGCUGGUGCAGUGGUUAAGUUCGCACGUUCUGUUUCAGCAGC